rnacentral:rRNA from 1 species
UACGGAGGGUGCAAGCAUUGAUCGGAAUUACUGGGCGUAAAGGGCGCGUAGGCGGUUCUAUAAGUCGGACGUGAAAUUCCGGGGCUCAACCCCGGAGCUGCGUUUGAAACUGUAGGGCUAGAGUUCAGUUAGGGUAAACGGAAUUCCACGUGUAGCGGUGAAAUGCGUAGAUAUGUGGAAGAACACCGGUGGUGAAGACGGUUUACUGGGCUGAUACUGACGCUGAGGCGCGAAAGCAUGGGGAGCAAACAGG